rnacentral:rRNA from 1 species
UACGUAGGUGGCGAGCGUUGUCCGGAUUUACUGGGCGUAAAGGGAGCGUAGGCGGACUUUUAAGUGAGUUGUGAAAUACUCGGGCUCAACUUGAGUGCUGCAUUUCAAACUGGAAGUCUAGAGUGCAGGAGAGGAGAAUGGAAUUCCUAGUGUAGCGGUGAAAUGCGUAGAGAUUAGGAAGAACACCAGUGGCGAAGGCGAUUCUCUGGACUGUAACUGACGCUGAGGCUCGAAAGCGUGGGGAGCAAACAGG